UUGGGUCAACCUCCCACCCGUGUUUAUUUUACCUUGUUGCUUCGGCGGGCCCGCCUUUACUGGYCGCCGGGGGGCUCACGCCCCCGGGCCCGCGCCCGCCGAAGACACCCCCGAACUCUGUCUGAAGAUUGAAGUCUGAGUGAAAAUAUAAAUUAUUUAAAACUUUCAACAACGGAUCUCUUGGUUCCGGCAUCGAUGAAGAACGCAGCGAAAUGCGAUACGUAAUGUGAAUUGCAAAUUCAGUGAAUCAUCGAGUCUUUGAACGCACAUUGCGCCCCCUGGUAUUCCGGGGGGCAUGCCUGUCCGAGCGUCAUUGCUGCCCUCAAGCCCGGCUUGUGUGUUGGGCCCCGUCCUCCGAUUCCGGGGGACGGGCCCGAAAGGCAGCGGCGGCACCGCGUCCGGUCCUCGAGCGUAUGGGGCUUUGUCACCCGCUCUGUAGGCCCGGCCGGCGCUUGCCGAUCAACCCAAAUUUUUAUCCRGGUUGACCUCSGAUCAGGUAGGGAUACCCGCUGAACUUAA
rnacentral:rRNA from 1 species